rnacentral:rRNA from 1 species
GACGAACGCUGGCGGCGCGCCUAACACAUGCAAGUCGAACGGAGAUACCUGUUAGAUCCCUUCGGGGUGACGAUGGACUAUCUUAGUGGCGGACGGGUGAGUAACACGUGAGCAACCUGCCUUACAGAGCGGGAUAACGUUUGGAAACGAACGCUAAUACCGCAUAACAUUAACUUAUCGCAUGGUAAGAUAAUCAAAGAAAUUCGCUGUAAGAUGGGCUCGCGUCUGAUUAGAUAGUUGGUGAGGUAACGGCUCACCAAGUCGACGAUCAGUAGCCGGACUGAGAGGUUGAACGGCCACAUUGGGACUGAGACACGGCCCAGACUCCUACGGGAGGCAGCAGUGGGGAAUAUUGCACAAUGGGGGAAACCCUGAUGCAGCGACGCCGCGUGAGGGAAGAAGGUUUUCGGAUUGUAAACCUCUGUCUUCAGGGACGAUAGUGACGGUAC